UACGAAGGGGGCUAGCGUUGUUCGGGAUCACUGGGCGUAAAGCGCACGUAGGCGGACUUUCAAGUCAGGGGUGAAAUCCCGGGGCUCAACCUCGGAAUUGCCUUUGAUACUGUAAGUCUCGAGUCCGGAAGAGGUGGGUGGAAUUCCUAGUGUAGAGGUGAAAUUCGUAGAUAUUAGGAAGAACACCGGUGGCGAAGGCGGCCCACUGGUCCGGUACUGACGCUGAGGUGCGAAAGCGUGGGGAGCAAACAGG
rnacentral:rRNA from 1 species